rnacentral:sRNA from 1 species
CAUCUUUCAUUCCUUCCUUCCUCUGUUUCUUUCUUUCUUCCUUUCAUUUUUUUUUUUCUUUUUUAAGAGCGAGCGGCUCUGCGGUGGCGGUUUGGGGUGGGCGCCGCCGAGGUGAGGUCGUCUCGCCUCCCGCGCGCUGAAUAAACAGCCAUUGGACUCUUCAAAGAAAAACGCUGUCUCCAUCAAGUACUGCUUUCGCAGGAAAGUGACCAUUUUUAAUCAGUUGAAAUUAAAGUAGCAGUUAUUUUUGAAAGAUGACAUCAAUUAUAUAAUAUAGUAAAGAGAUUUAAUUUUUAGUCCUUUGUUUCUUACUGCACAAAUUGUAUGGUGUUUGAAUAGAAUUCCCAUGAUACUGACACUUCAGCAAAUACUUGCUUGAUGGCUACCAAUCUCUAUAACUUACAUUGCACAGUACCUAGGAAUAUUCAUGUGAGUUCAUUCCUCCCUGCUCAGAUUCUUCAGCUACUCGUGG